ACAGGAAAAACCUUCUGGACGGAAUGCGCGCUUACCUUAGAUCUCAAGCGAACUAUUUCGGACCUUUACGCCAUAACAGUAUCUAAUUCAGAACAAGAAUUUUUACAAGUUCCGAGUUAACAGUGGUUGAAUUAAGGCACUGUAGGCCAAGAUAGUUAGUCUAUUCUAGGAGCGAGACACUUCGAGCUGUUUAACUGUACCGAUUGAGGAAACUACUUUAACCGCGGAAAUGAAAGUUUCAUUUGUAAUCUUCCUGUUCCUCCUCGUCCUCCUUGCCGAGCUCGAGCGCCAUUCAUCUGAUGCCCUCCCCCGACGAGGAGGUCGCAUACUGUCCAUGUGCAAAAGGAGGUUUAGUCGUUGCGGUAAGCGCCCUGGUUGCUGUAUGAGAUCCUGGAAAGUUUGCCGAUAUCAUGGCCGCUGGUGCAAUAAAACGAUGUGUACAAAGAUGUACCGAAAAUGCAUGUGUUCAGCUAUACGAGACAAGUUUGGAUACUAUUGUUAACACGAGUUGUUUUUAAACUAAACAAUAACUAAGUUGUGAAGUAGAAUAGUGCUAAAACUGAAGGAAAUAAAAAUGUAGUGGUGAGAUCAA